ACUCAAAUGAAUAGACGGGGGCCCGCACAAGCGGUGGAGCAUGUGGUUUAAUUCGACGCAACGCGAAGAACCUUACCAGGGCUUGACAUCCUUCGAAUCCCGUGGAAACAUGGGAGUGCUGCUUUCGGGCAGAAUGAAGAGACAGGUGGUGCAUGGUUGUCGUCAGCUCGUGUCGUGAGAUGUUGGGUUAAGUCCCGCAACGAGCGCAACCCCUACAUUUAGUUGCCAGCACUUCGGGUGGGCACUCUAGAUGAACUGCCGGUGACAAACCGGAGGAAGGUGGGGAUGACGUCAAAUCAUCAUGCCCUUUAUGUCCUGGGCUACACACGUGCUACAAUGGACGGUACAGACGGACGCAAAACCGCGAGGUCGAGCAAAUCUGAAAAAGCCGUUCCCAGUUCGGAUUGCAGGCUGCAACUCGCCUGCAUGAAGUCGGAAUCGCUAGUAAUCGCAGGUCAGCAUACUGCGGUGAAUACGUUCCCGGGCCUUGUACACACCGCCCGU
rnacentral:rRNA from 1 species